UACGGGGGGGGCAAGCGUUGCUCGGAAUCACUGGGCGUAAAGGGUGCGUAGGCGGUCUCGCAAGUCUGGCGUGAAAGCCCAAGGCUCAGCCUUGGAAGUGCGCUCGAAACGGCGAGGCUGGAGUGCCGGAGGGGAGAGUGGAAUUCCCGGUGUAGCGGUGAAAUGCGUAGAGAUCGGAAAGAACACCAACGGCGAAAGCACUCUGCUGGGCCGACACUGACACUGAGAGACGAAAGCUAGGGGAGCGAAUGGG
rnacentral:rRNA from 1 species